rnacentral:tRNA from 1 species
GGACCAUUAGCUCAGUUGGUUAGAGCUCCCGGCUCAUAACCGGACGGUCCUGGGUUCGAGUCCCCGAUGGUCCACCA